rnacentral:snRNA from 1 species
AGCUUUGCGCAGUGGCAGUAUCAUAACCAAUGAAGUUAAUCUGAGGUGUGAUUAUUGCUAGUUGAUAACUUAAGUUGGCACUGGCAGCAUAAAUGUUUGUCUGCUAAGGUCCUAC